rnacentral:lncRNA from 1 species
GGCGCGGGGACCCGUGGGCGGGGAUGGUGGUCGUGCCCCCAAGCCCUGCGUUUGGGCCGGUGCUUCCCACAGCUGUGCGUUAUCAGCCCCAUUUCACAGUUUGCUAAAGCAGAGGCAUACUACUAUCAAUAGCAUCAAGAAAUGAUGAUGGAAGAAGCAUGGAAAUACAAUAUGGUUCCAAAAUGGGAAACUAAAAUAGAGGAAGAGGAAAAGAGACCACAACGUGAGAAAACAGAAGAUACUAAAAAAUGGGACUAUCUAGUGCCUGAGGGGGAACUGAGUCUUAUAAAGAAACAUAUACCAGGCUGAACAAACCAGAGGCCUCAGAGACCACAAACACCGACUGCUCCCUCAAAGAAUUCCCAGUGAAAUACUUUCCCCUAAAAUACUAACACGGGAAAAGGAUGGAAAGCAUGAAAAUAUCCAGAAAACACACAAAACUGAAACCAGUAAGCACAAGGUGGCAUGGACAAAGGAACAGAUGAAGGGACACCAAGACCGAAUGAUCUGAGGGAGAGAACUCAAAGCAAAGACACGCUCAGAAGCGCUCCAGCCCCGUUCCAUCUUUCCUAAAAUCUCAAGUGGAAAAAGAGAAGGUGAAAGAGUUUGAAUGGGUCACAGCUUAUCCAAUUUUGCAACCUUACCAGAAAGCACUUAGGAAAGUGAUGAUUCU